UAUUUGGAAGAAUUGUUAGGAAAAUAGAUUUCAAAGUAUUUUGUUUGAAGAUAACACUGGAGAGCAGUAAAAAAAUUAUAGCCCUCUCCUUCUAUAACAGUGGCAAAUCUGGGAGAGCAAAGGGAAGCUAAUAGGAGUAAUGAGAUUUUAAUUAAGGAAGAGUUUGAUUUUUGUGAUAGAAACAGAGACCUUGCAUUUGCUGCUGAUGACUGAAUAUCCUCUGGGAGGACUUUACGAUCAGUGUUUUACAUAGUCUGGAGUAAACUCAUUCAUUUAUUCAUUUAUUCAUUCAAUACCUGAGCCCUUACCAUAUGCCAUGCACUUUUUAGGUGUUAUUUUCAAAUUUCCCUUAGAGUAAAAAAUGGCUGUGAGUGAAGUAAACUGGCGAAAACUGUUUUCUUACUAUCUAUCAUGAAUAUAAAAGAUAUAUGAGAAAAUACAUAAUUGCAAUUUUAUCAUUUGGGGGAAGUGUCUUGAUAUGCUUUGAUUUGUUAAUACCACACUUCUUUCUAAGACAGUGACUCACAUGACACUAAUAUGGGCCAGAAUAGUACAUGUGUUUUUUGUCCUUGUAAAAAAGGUGUUUUAAUCUAAACUUUGGAAAUUGUCCUCUCCUUUAUAUAAUAGCAGAUUUUAGAGCUGUUGAGUUUGUGUUUUGACUAGGGAACGUGGGAACCACUAGUGAGUUGACCACCCAUCACUCAGGUGAAACACCAGCUAGACUGCUGGUCGGUAGGUGCUGGUUGUGAAGUUGUUCGCUCUCAGCUCCCACUGCACCUUCCAUGCUCUGCUUGGUGAUGAGACUGCAGGCAGGCCACAUUUCUCCUUUGCUGGCUGGCGUUUUGUGAGGUGGUUCUACCAGUAGUAAGCAUGUGAGAGAUUGGAACCAGAGGAAGGAAGAUGGAAUCUGCUGCUCUGUGUUAGCUUUGUCCCUAAUAGCGAUGCUACAGCCUUGGUUCUGCAGCCCACUGCCAACAGCUACUUCCUGGAGGAGGAAUUGGUGCCACUUCAACGUUUUCCACACUUGUACAGUUUUGUCGUUGCACUCAAAGAUCACAGUACUGUCAGACAGUGCCCCGGCUAUGGAAGUUUGAACCUGGCUCUAGGGUCCUGCUGACGUCCCAGGGCACAGGUGCCAGCAGAGCAGCAUCCAUUCCUCAGGUCUGACUCCCAGCUCCUCGGGCUGCCACCUACAAGCUUCUACUUCCUAAUAACCCCUUGCCUUUGUUUCCCAUUCCUCAGAGCAGUAGCUGCUUCCUGUGCUUAUUAUCUCUGUGA